rnacentral:rRNA from 1 species
AGAGUUUGAUCAUGGCUCAGAUUGAACGCUGGCGGCAGGCCUAACACAUGCAAGUCGAGCGCGAAAACACUUCGGUGUGAGUAGAGCGGCGGACGGGUGAGUAACGCGUAGGAAUCUACCUGGUAGUGGGGGACAACUUGUGGAAACGCGAGCUAAUACCGCAUACGACCUAAGGGUGAAAGUGGGGGACCUUCGGGCCUCACGCUAUCGGAUGAGCCUGCGUAGGAUUAGCUUGUUGGUGAGGUAAAGGCUCACCAAGGCGACGAUCCUUAGCUGGUCUGAGAGGAUGAUCAGCCACACUGGAACUGAGACACGGUCCAGACACCUACGGGAGGCAGCAGUGGGGAAUAUUGCGCAAUGGGCGAAAGCCUGACGCAGCCAUGCCGCGUGUGUGAAGAAGGCCUUAGGGUUGUAAAGCACUUUCAAUUGGGAAGAAAAGUUUAGUGUUAAUAGCACUAAGCCCUGACAUUACCUUUAGAAGAAGCACCGGCUAACUCCGUGCCAGCAGCCGCGGUAAUACGGAGGGUGCGAGCGUUAAUCGGAAUUACUGGGCGUAAAGCGCGCGUAGGCGGUUUGUUAAGUCAGCUGUGAAAGCCCCGGGCUCAACCUGGGAACUGCAGUUGAUACUGGCCGACUAGAGUACGAGAGAGGGAGGUAGUAUUCCAUGUGUAGCGGUGAAAUGCGUAGAUAUAUGGAGGAAUACCAGUGGCGAAGGCGGCCUCCUGGCUCGAUACUGACGCUGAGGUGCGAAAGCGUGGGGAUCAAACAGGAUUAGAUACCCUGGUAGUCCACGCCGUAAACGAUGUCUACUAGCCGUUGGGAGACUUGAUUUCUUAGUGGCGCAGCUAACGCAAUAAGUAGACCGCCUGGGGAGUACGGCCGCAAGGUUAAAACUCAAAUGAAUUGACGGGGGCCCGCACAAGCGGUGGAGCAUGUGGUUUAAUUCGAUGCAACGCGAAGAACCUUACCAGGUCUUGACAUCCUGAGAACUUUCUAGAGAUAGAUUGGUGCCUUCGGGAACUCAGAGACAGGUCUGCAUGGCUGUCGUCAGCUCGUGUCGUGAGAUGUUGGGUUAAGUCCCGUAACGAGCGCAACCCUUGUCCUUAGUUGCCAGCACAUAAUGGUGGGAACUCUAAGGAGACUGCCGGUGACAAACCGGAGGAAGGUGGGGACGACGUCAAGCCAUCAUGGCCCUUACGACCUGGGCUACACACGUGCUACAAUGGAACGCACAGAGGGCAGCAAACCCGCGAGGGGGAGCGAAUCCCACAAAACG